rnacentral:rRNA from 1 species
AGAGUUUGAUUCUGGCUCAGAACGAACGCUGGCGGCGCGUCUUAAGCAUGCAAGUCGAGCGGCAAGCUAUGUGUUUACACGUAGCCUAGAGCGGCGGACUGGUGAGUAACACGUGGGUGACCUACCUAAAAGUUGGGAAUAGCCGUUAGAAAUAGCGGGUAAUACCGAAUGUGCUUACAGGAAGAAAGUCUUGUAAGGAAAGGAGCUACGGCUUCGCUUUUAGAUGGGCCCGCGCCCCAUUAGCUAGUUGGUGGAGUAAAAGCCUACCAAGGCGAUGAUGGGUAGCCGGCCUGAGAGGGUGAACGGCCACACUGGGACUGAGAUACGGCCCAGACUCCUACGGGAGGCAGCAGCUAAGAAUAUUCCGCAAUGGACGAAAGUCUGACGGAGCGACGCCGCGUGGAUGAUGAAGGCCGGAAGGUUGUAAAAUCCUUUUGUCAACGAAGAAUAAGCGGAGGAGGGAAUGUCUUCGUGAUGACGUUAGUUGACGAAUAAGCCCCGGCUAAUUACGUGCCAGCAGCCGCGGUAACACGUAAGGGGCGAGCGUUGUUCGGAAUUAUUGGGCGUAAAGGGCGCGUAGGCGGUUUUGCCAGCCUGAUGUGAAAGCCUGGGGCUUAACCCUGGAAUUGCAUUGGGAACUGCAAGACUUGAAUCAUGGAAGGGAAAUCAGAAUUCCAGGUGUAGGGGUGAAAUCUGUAGAUAUAUGGAGGAACACCGAUGGCGAAGGCAGCCGUCUGGCCAUGUACUGACGCUGAGGCGCGAAGGUGCGGGGGGCAAACAGGUUUAGAUACCCUGGUAGUCCGCACAGUAAACGAUGGGCACCAGGCGGCGGGGGCAACCUCGCUGCCGCAGCUAACGCAUUAAGUGCACCGCCUGGGGAGUAUGCCCGCAAGGGUGAAACUCAAAGGAAUAGACGGGGGCCCGCACAAGCGGUGGAGCAUGUGGUUUAAUUCGAUGCAACGCGAAGAACCUUACCCGGUCUUGACAUCCGUAGGAUCCUUCAGAGAUGAGGGAGUGCCUUUCGGGGAACUACGAGACAGGUGCUGCAUGGCUGUCGUCAGCUCGUGUCGUGAGAUGUUGGGUUAAGUCCCGCAACGAGCGCAACCCCUGCAUCCAGUUGCCAUCAUUAGGUUGGGGACUCUGGAUGGACCACUGCGGUAACAACGCAGAGGAAGGUGGGGACGACGUCAAGCAAUCAUGGUCCUUACGACCGGGGCUACACACGUGCUACAAUGGUAGUUACAGAGGGUUGCGAAGCCGUAAGGUGGAGCUAAUCUCAUAAAAGCUACGCAAGUUCGGAUUGAGGUCUGCAACUCGACCUCAUGAAGCUGGAAUCGCUAGUAAUCGCGCAACAUCAUGGUGCGGUGAAUACGUUCCCGGGCCUUGUACACACCGCCCGUCA